ACACUAUUUUCUGUUUCUAGAUGACUUAUCUUAGUUUUUAAGUUCUUUUCCCAAUUGUCUUCAGCCUCUCUUAAUUGUGUUUUGAAUUGCAUUUUGAGUUCUUCCAAAGCCUGUAUCCAAUUCGCUGGGAUUUCUGAUUUUUCCUUUGCUGAUCCCUCCCCCUCUGUUUCAUUCCCUCUUUGCUCAUUACCUGUGCAGAAGCUGUCUAUUGUAAUUUCUUUCUUCUUUUUCUGUUGUUUUCUCGAGUUUACCCCUUUUUUGCUCCCCGUAUUUGGCUAUGCUCUUGCUCCUCUCAUUUUGUUUUGGUUUUGGGGCUGUCAGUCUCCCCUCUUGGAGCUUUGUCAGAUCUCUUGGUACAGUCUCUAGGGGAGGAAUAUUAGCUUCCCUGUCCUCUGGAGGCUUUUGAUUGGAUUGAGUUCAAGUGGGUUGGGCUGUAUGUGUUAUGACGCUCUGAGGCUCUGAAGACUCCUGGAAGGCUGGGCCACCCAGGCUCUCUCCAGUUCUCUCCAGCUGCUUCUCUGCUGUCUACAAGUGCCUUUGCCCUCUUCCCUAAACUCUGAGGAGUUCUGAUUGAAUUAGGUUCAACUGGAUUGAUCUGGUUGUGCCCCGAGGCAAAGGUGAGGCUGGAGCCAGAUGGAGGGACCCAGCCACGGCCCUGUCUCUCCCUGGCUUCCUCCCUGCUGUCCAAGCUGGAUGCUCGGAGCCCGGUGCCCCGCUGCUCACAAGCUAUCAUCCACUGAAGAUCACCUCUGAUGCUGCUGAUGGCCUCCAAAGUUAUCAUUUCCCACCACUCUGUACCAAAUUGCUGUUGCUUCCAUCUACUUCAAUGGCUGAGACUUUUUCAAGGAAGUAUUGUCUUUCUUUAACUCUGAGUCUGCCAUGGGACAACACACCUUGGAGCCAAUUGGCAUGUUGUCAGCCCUUUUCUUCAUCAAUACAACAUCAUAGCUCUCUGACAUUUAGGCUGACUGAUUUUCAGGUGCUCAACAAGUUCUUGCUGACAUAUCUCUCACCGAAAGGUCCUAUGACUC
rnacentral:lncRNA from 1 species